GACGAACGCUGGCGGCGUGCUUAACACAUGCAAGUCGAACGGAAAGGCCCUGCUUUUGUGGGGUGCUCGAGUGGCGAACGGGUGAGUAACACGUGAGUAACCUGCCCUUGACUUUGGGAUAACUUCAGGCAACUGGGGCUAAUACCGGAUAGGAGCUCCUGCUGCAUGGUGGGGGUUGGAAAGUUUCGGCGGUUGGGGCUGGACUCGCGGCUUAUCAGCUUGUUGGUGGGGGAGUGGCUUAGCAAGGCUUUGACGGGUAGCCGGCCUGAGAGGGUGACCGGCCACAUUGGGACUGAGGUACGGCCCAGACGCCUACGGGGGGCAGCAGUGGGGAAUAUUGCACAAUGGGCGGAAGCCUGAUGCAGCAACGCCGCGUGCGGGAUGACGGCCUUCGGGUUGUAAACCGCUUUCGCCUGUGACGAAGCGUGAGUGACGGUAAUGGGUAAAGAAGCACCGGCUAACUACGUG
rnacentral:rRNA from 1 species